rnacentral:tRNA from 1 species
GAGGGUACAGCUCAGUGGUAGUGUGUGUGCUUAGAAUGCACAAGGUCCCGGGUUCAACCCCCAGUACUUCCA